UCUCUCUAUGGCAUGACUGACCUUUUUUAAGUCAGACAGCCCUCGGAAAUAAUGACUUACCAAUUGGUGAUUUUCGCCACUCUCCUAGCGUUAUCCUGCUCAAAGACGGACGAGAUAAAACCACCGGAGCCGUGUGUGGAUAAGCCCUGCGCAGAGUACUGCGUGAAAGUGCUAGGAGGGCCCGAAUUCAAUGUCACUGGCAAGUGCGCGAAGUACGAGAAUGGUACGCAGUUCUGCAGCUGCAGGCGUCGCACAUAUACCACCGGAUCGAAACGUAGCCGCCUACACCGACCCUCAGUUCCAGCUAGGAGUAUGAGGCAGAAAAGACAAGCUGAGACUGCGAAAAAGGAAAGACCCAGUACGGUUGUGUGGUCUUGAUUAACUUCGGUCCAGAU